GACAGAGGGUGCAAACGUUGUUCGGAAUUACUGGGCGUAAAGCGUGUGUAGGCGGUCUCAUAAGUCGGGUGUGAAAGCCCAGGGCUCAACCCUGGAAGUGCACUCGAAACUGCGAGGCUUGAGUACCGGAGAGGUUGGUGGAAUUCUCGGUGUAGAGGUGAAAUUCGUAGAUAUCAGGAGGAACACCAAUGGCGAAGGCAGCUCACUGGGACGGUAUUGACGCUGAGACGCGAAAGCGUGGGGAGCAAACAGG
rnacentral:rRNA from 1 species